UACAUACUCCCUCCGUCUAAAAUUACUUGUCACACAAAUGAAUAAAAAUGGAUAUAUCUAAAAUUAGAAUACAUCUAGAUUCAUCCAUUUUUAUGACAAAUAUUUUCAGACGGAGGAAGUAUUUG
rfam:Hordeum vulgare subsp. vulgare, WGS project CAJW01000000 data, contig: morex_contig_1561463